UCUUCUAUGGAGAGGAAUUCUAGACCUAAUCAGAGACGAUCCCUUAAGACUCUGGUUUAAGAAAGGUUCGGAGAUAAGCAUACUUUGAUAGCGUUCACCUGUUUUCCCUGAGGACCUUUCGCCACUGGGAGUCGGGGAACACCUGUCAGUCAGAGUCCUCUGCUCUGAAAUUCGUAUUGAGAUAAAGUCAAAGAAAAGUUGGAGGCCAGUCAUGGUGGUUCGCAUCUGUGGUCCCAGCUACUGUGGAGGCUGAGGCAGGAGGAUUGCUCAAGCAUAGGAGUUUGAGGCUGCAGUGAGCCAUGAUUGUGCCAAUGCACUCCAGCCUGGGCAACAGAGCAAGACCCAGUCUCAAAAAACAAACCAAAAAAAAAAAAGGAGAAGAAAGAAAAGCUUCAGAGGGCACAACUUCCUUUUUUCUUUUAAUGUAACUGCACUGAGAAUUUCAAGCACAGGAAGUUCUACAUCCUCAACUACCAUGCGUAGAAAGCAAAACAUAGAAAGCGACGCGUUUCUUUCCGCAUCGUCACCUUCCUCCUUCCAUCAGUCAGUCCGCAGUCCCGCUUCUCCAGUGAAGCCUGGUGUUAAUUUUCCACACACAGUGUUAUUCAGGGGCUGAUUAUCCUCUCUUAUUUGUAUUCAUUUGUUUUUUUAUACCUAUUUUGAAAAUUCAUACAGAAUAUAGGCAAAGAAGCUAAAAGAAAAAGUGAAACUCAGCACAUUUUUAAUUUUUUAUUAGUAAUUGCAUUUUUAAAAAAGGACAGUUACUGGAAGAGAAGGUAAUUGAAUAUAGAUUACAACAAGAUUUAGGGACAAUUAUAGAAUUUCUUGUAUAUUUACUAAUAAAUGAAUGCUAAUUAUCUUUUAUGUAAAUGGCAUUUUAUGCCAGCAAGAUGUUUUAUAUGUACAUAUGCACACACACACACGCGCGAUAGAGCGAUGGCUAAAUAAAUUGUGAUUUAUUCCUAUGAUAGGAUUUAUGUAACUAUUAAAGAAGUUGUUUAUAAAAGUCUUUCUUAUUGUUAAGUGCAAAACUAGGAUUAGGAUAGACGUUAAAGAAAAGGAUCAUAUAGUGUAAAAAUAAACAUGUAUAUUAGUAGAAAGAGACCACAAAGUGUUAUGAAAAAAUACUAACUAUAUUAAUCUCUGG
rnacentral:lncRNA from 10 species